AUGGGAUGGAACUGGAAUUUUCUCUUCCUCCUUUCAGUAACUGCAGGUGUCUACUCUGAGGUUCAACUGCAGCAGUCUGGAGCUGAGCUGGUGAGGCCUGGGGCUUCAGUGAAGCUGAACUGCAAGGCUUCUGGCUAUGACUUCACCAGUGGGUAUAUGCACUGGGUGAAGCAGAGUCAUGGAACGAGCCUUGAGUGGAUUGGAAGGAUUGAUCCUGACAAUGGUGAUACUAAAUACAAUGAAAAGUUCAAGGGCAAGGCCACAUUGACUGUAGACAGAUCCUCCAGCACAGCCUAUAUGGAGCUUAAAAGACUGACAUCUGAGGACUCUGCAGUCUAUUACUGUGCAAGACACAGUUUAAUGAGUCUCUUCACCUUAGACUCAGGCAGACUCUUCAGAUUAGGACAAAAAUUAGUCACAUUUUUUUUUUCACCAAAAUACCACAAAACAAUCUGUAGGCCACAUGCUAAAAUUAUUCUCAUUGAAAUCUCUUGGGCCAGUAUCAUAAACAUAACUCCACAGUUGUCAAGACUCUAG